rnacentral:rRNA from 1 species
UACGGAGGGUGCAAGCGUUGUCCGGAUUUAUUGGGUUUAAAGGGUGCGUAGGUGGCCUUAUAAGUCAGUGGUGAAAUUCUGUAGCUUAACUAUAGAACUGCCAUUGAUACUGUAGGGCUUGAGUGUCGUUAAGGCAGGCGGAAUUUAUGGUGUAGCGGUGAAAUGCAUAGAUACCAUAAAGAACACCGAUAGCGAAGGCAGCUUGCUUAGCGGCAACUGACACUGAUGCACGAAAGCGUGGGUAGCGAACAGG